UUCCAAGACAAUGCAAUGCUCCUGCUAUCCCGAGAUAUUCAAGUAUUGAGGGACAACAAUUGGCCUAUAAUGCUAAUGACGAGGUGAUUGUAUCCUGUGACGGAGGUAGUUCUCAGUUCACCCUUCGAUGUAACAAUGAUGGAAUAUGGACUGGACCAAAUAUCGCUUGCCCUGCGCCUGAUCCGGGUGCCUCUCAUCAAACCUUCUGUAGUGCUCCGGUCAUUCCCCGUCAUUCAACCAACCAGAAUCUUCGUCUCUCAUACAAACCUAGCGAUAGGGUUAACGUGACAUGCGAUGAAGAUCAUAGUUCCUUCCUCUUGGUAUGUCGAGAAGGGUUAUGGAUUGGACAAAACAUAGUGUGCAAGGAACCAGAUGUAGAAUGCAACCCACCAAUCAUACCGGCUGUUUCAUCUGUCGAGAAUUUAAGACCUCGCUACAAGGUCGGCGACGAGGUCAACGUCACUUGCAACGGCGAUUCUGAUUGGUUCAUUUGGGAAUGUCACCGGGAUGGUAAAUGGCGGGGAAGGGCCAUUGAUUGCCCUAUUCCAAGACCAUCCCUUGGCCAUGUUAGUCCCGU